UUAGUAACACAGGUAAAAACCUUUGUCCAUGAUUUCUGAUUCAGGCUAUAUACCACAAUUUAAAAUAACACAUAAUGUGAGACAUAGAAGACACAAGCAGUAGUUAUUACACUGGAUCAUUUAAAAGGAACCUGUUGCAAUAAAAGGUUAGUUUACAGUGCAAAAUAAAGCAUGUGUUGGACCGCUGAAAAUGUAAAUGUUGCUCUCUUAUUUUCAAACAAAAAUUAUAUUUACAGUAUGGAUCCUCUGCAACAAACACACAGGGCAGGGAAGAUGUGCUGAUUGGUGUUUCUAUACAAUUAAUCCCAUAUGGGGAAUUAACUUUCAAAUACUAAUGAUGUGACUUUUUGUCUCAGUUAUAAAAUAUACUGAGCUCAUCAUGCAAACAAUGUAACACAUUUACACUAUCCCACUCUCAUAAUAAGUGUAGUGGGCUUAUAGUAUUUUUAAAGCAACAAUCAUUCCAGGCACACAGAUCCCAUGUGAAAUAACUUACAAUAAAACAGAGUAAUAAACUUAUACUUCUAUGCGACAGAAAGAAUAAAGUAAAAAGAUUUAAGUAGGUCUAUCAGGUACAACCUGUGAGUCAUUUAUUUUCUAAUAUACAUUACUGCUAUCUUGCAAAAAGAUAAGUCCUGCGCUCACUCCCAUCACUACUGGGCAGCAGCAAGGACUACAGUACACAUCAGCCCCAAUAUAUGGUAAAAAACCAAAGAAAAACAAGUUACCUGCGUUCUCUCCUUAAUCCCUAUGUAUUUUUAAAACCUCCAUUUGUUUAAAAGUACUGCUAUCUUAUAUAUACACAUAUACAUAUACACACACAUAUAUACAUACAUAUACACAUAUAUACAUACAUAUAUUGGUCACUCAGGACAUGAACUCACAUUUCCCAUACUGCUGACUCAGAGUGGGGACACUACUAACUUACCAAAGUGUGUCCCCAAUAUAGACAAACAAUCACCCACAAAAAAAAAACACUUAAGACAAACAAAGGUGACCGGGAGAAAGAGAAGUUUGGGUUAUACUUAAAGAUCUACAAACUGUGCUGCUCAGAACACCUAUAGACUUAAUAAACCGGAGACUCUUAUGGUCUCAAAAACCUGUAUCUACCUGAGAUACCCUGUAUCUAUCUUAGAUACUAACCUGGGUUACCAAAACCCUAUAAUAAACCGGAGACCUCUUAUAGUCUCAAUAUAACUAGAGUCCUUACACCUUUCCUAUCUACUGGAUACAGACUUACUGAACCAAAGGGGGGUCAUAGACAAUCAGCGUCAAAUAAGACACAAAAAGGCUACUCACCGCAAUGGUUUUGCUGAUCCAACUUCUAUCCCACUUCUAGACACCAAGCUGAAAGGGUUAAUGUUGUAAUGGACUCUAAUCCCCUCGGUUCUCGAUCUCUCGGUCACCAUAAUCAACGUUGAUGGAGAAUCAUUUGUAAGCAAUAACACACGGACAACAGCUUUACAAGACUCUCAAAUGAGUGUAUUCCAGAGCUGGCUUUUAUA